AUUGAACGCUGGCGGCAUGCCUUACACAUGCAAGUCGAACGGCAGCACGGGUGCUUGCACCUGGUGGCGAGUGGCGAACGGGUGAGUAAUGUAUCGGAACGUACCAUUCAGUGGGGGAUAACGUAGCGAAAGUUACGCUAAUACCGCAUAUUCUCUGAGGAGGAAAGUAGGGGAUCGCAAGACCUUACGCUGAUUGAGCGGCCGAUAUCGGAUUAGCUAGUUGGUGAGGUAAAGGCUCACCAAGGCGACGAUCCGUAGCUGGUCUGAGAGGAUGAUCAGCCACACUGGAACUGAGACACGGUCCAGACUCCUACGGGAGGCAGCAGUGGGGAAUUUUGGACAAUGGGGGCAACCCUGAUCCAGCCAUGCCGCGUGAGUGAAGAA
rnacentral:rRNA from 1 species